rnacentral:sRNA from 1 species
GCAGGGCGUGGUGGCGCAUGCCUGUAAUCUCAGUGGCUCUGGAGGCUGAGGCAGGAGGAUCCUGAGCCUCAGCAACAGGGAGGCACUGAGCAACUCAGUGAGACCCUGCCUCUA